AAACAGAGUAAACAUUACCAAUGGUGGCUGUCAUUACCGCAGCUUCCUUUUUUUCUCUUUUCCUGGCAGACAAACCUCUUUUUUUCUCCUUUAAAAUUUUGUCUCUAUUUGACACUUUUGAAUCACCCCAGAAGGUGGAAUAUUGUUUUUGUUGAAGCCACUGGGUGAGCAUCUCUUACCCACUUUGGAAAAAGCCCCAGACUUCUCUUUCUCCUUUGCCCCUGGCCUAGGAAAAUACUGCUCUUUCUGACCUCCCUGGGUCAUGACUCUGAGGACUGUAGCUCACGUGGCCCCAAGCCUGGAGAAGAUUCAGUGUGGAGACAAACACCUUAGCCAGGGUACCUGAGCGUGGUGGAGUCGAGCUCACGUGUUGCAAAUAGCCCUGAGACCUGGUCCAGGUGGACUGUUAACCUACACUGGGCCUGCCUAGAUUUUAAAGCUCAGAUGAAAUAAAAUGCUCUAAACCCUGAAGAUGGUAUUUACACAGUAAAUGAAAAUAUGGAGAUUCUUGGAGGAGGCAGUGGUUGAAGUAUUAGAAGCAGACGUCAUUACAAAAAUAUCUUGUCAUCGUUGCUUUGCCUAAUGGACUGGAAAACUUCAUUGUGUGUAACAAGCAGGCAUGCAGACAGGAGUUGACUCCACCUUUUCAUCUGCUCUUCAAGCAAGGAGACCAUCAUGGCCAAUUGGUGGCCUCCAGCAGAAAAAGAAACCCAGCAAAUCCCCACAGGCCAUAGAAACAGUCCUCUCUGCUUCUCUACUUCUUGGAAAAUAAGGUGUAUCAAGUGUCAGGCCCUUGGUUCUUCCCUAACACCUCCUGGAGUGAGCUCCUCUUUAACCUGUUCCAGUUGGAGGGAGGCAGCACAUCUCAGUGGUCAAGAUCAUGACCUUGGUGUCAGAUGGCUUUGGGCUUCAUUCCUCACUGUGUGGCCUCAGAGUUCUCCCCUUUAAACUCAACAAAGGAUAACAUCCACUGUCGCUUUUCUUCUUGAAGAAGGAUAACAGGGAGAGAAUGAAGGGUGGAGAGAAACCAGAAUCUCAAGUAGAUCUUGAAUUUGUAGGCUGACCAGGUGAGAACUCCCAAGAAGGUCUAUUAGUAUGCCUAAGACUGUGACCGCCAAAUGAAAUUUGAGUGCUUCUGCUCGGUUUCCUUCUGCAGGUCAGGAACGAGACCCCCAAAUUCCUGACCCUCCUCUUCCUAAGAUUCAUGAUUCUUACAUUUUCUUCUCAUCACAAAUUGCUUUCCAGGUACCAUCUCAGUCGGUACCCAUAACCAGCCGAACCAACACUUACUUGAAGAGUCUUGAUGACUCCCUUCAGUUGGUAAAAUUAAUGAGAGGAUCCUGUUUUUAUUCCGUAGCCAUUAUUACACAUUUCAUGAGGCCUUGUACUCAGAUGAUAUUCUUUCUUUUUAGAGCCAAACUUAUUUCUUAUUUCACAUUGUCAGAUGACCCGAUGAUUUCUGAGCAACAUCCCUAGGUAGGAAAAAAGUGGAUAAACUGAGGCUCAUAAUGCUUAAGUGACUCCCUUAAGAUCUUAUGAUGAGUCAGGAAGCAAGACAGAAAUAGAAACCACGACUCUAGUCUGCUAAACUGUUUUUCUGACCACUAGACCACACUUCCUCUGCAGACUAUGAAACGCUGGAAAAUGGGAGUCAGGCAGAGAGUAAAUAUGGAGGCGAACCCACAGAAACACAAUUUUACUUGUACCCAAAUCAUGUCAUUUAGUAAAGGAAAACAGAGAAACACCCCAAGCUUUUUGCUGUCAUCAAAAUUAUAACCUAAACCAACAAUGGAUAUAGAAUAGGAAAUGAGUCUGCCCUGGAUAGACAUACCCUUUUCCAUUUAAAAUGAAUUUGAAAAAGUUGUCCAUUUUUCCGUCUUGAUGUGUUUUUCCUUUAUACAAAAGGAGAAUCUAAGUGUUCACUUUUAUUUAGAUUUAAGAGUGUAUAAAUAAAAUACCUUUAAUCCUCUCAUUGUUCACACAAUGCAGACCUAACCAACAAUUACUUGUUACAAGUUUAAGGCUCUGUGGGAACAGUUGGUGUAAUAGACACACUGUCUUUAAACUUAAAAUUUAGUUGGACAGAGUCUCCAUGUACCCAUGAAACUCUGAAGGCAGUUGACGAUGAACAUCAAAUGAGCAGGAGUGAUUAAGAAGCAGCCUAUGAUGUGUAAUAGCAAAAACCAAAGCAACGCUGUGUGAAGACUUGGGUUUGAGUCUCAGCUGUACCACGAGCUAACUUUCCACCUUGGACAAAUUACAUCCUAUGCAUUGACAGGGAGCGAUAGCAACUGUCUGCCUUGUCUUCCAACAGUAUUAGCGUGGAGACCAACAUGAGAAAAUGCAUGUAAAAUGGGCUGUGGGCUGGAAGAUGAAAUAUAGGAGGCAUUCAAGUCAUGAGAAGUAUCAGAAUCAUGCCAGGGUUGCACAGAAAAGCCUUUCUCCUUUGUAUCUAGAAUCUCCAAUGAUACAGUUUUCAAGGAACCUUCAGCAGGCUCAAAUGGAAACUAAAACAAGAAAUUAAAAACAGGCUCCCUUUGAAAUUAUUUUUGGCUAUGAGAACAGAAAAUAAUACGAUAUUUUCCCUUUGGUAAAUAGCUCCUUGCCUCAUCCUCAGUGAGAGCUAUCUGAACAUCUUGUGUGAAAUCUGUUGAUAAUGGUUUGAAGAGAGAACUUUCCAAUUAUGAAGAAGAAGGCAUGCAACUCAGGGAAGCCGAACCCUCUGUUGACUGGGACAGAGAGUGCCAAAAACCCUUCCCACCUGUGGUUCCCAGGGAGCAACCGCAGCAGCAUUUCAUCACCAGGACAAUGUGGCAACCAACAGGAAUCCUUGAAUGACCCUUUCAGGAAAACAAGCAUGAAAUUGUGUUCAGGGCUUCCACCUGUGGGUGAACCCGGGUAUUGUUGAUAUGGGAAACUUGAGAAAAGGCAGGAAUUUACUUUUAAAAUUAAGCAGGGAAAAUUUACUGUAAAUAUUGUUAAAUUUAUUGUUAAGUAGUCUGUGAGGAUACUUUAAUUCCAGGAGGUCAUGUGAUUUUUCUUAAUCGAGGAAACAACUAACUGUAAAACUUGUCUAAAAUUCUUACACUAACCUCUGCUUGCGUCAAGUCACUCUUUUACAGCAAUAAUUCAUUACACUUUACACUUAGCAAAAAAAUGUAGAGGGGUCGGCCCCAUGGCCGAGUGGUUAAGUUCGCGCGCUCAGCUGCAGGCGGCCCAGUGUUUCGUUGGUUCGAAUCUUGGGCGCGGACAUGGCACUGCUCGUCAAGCCACACUGAGGUGGUGUCCCAUGUGCCACAACUAGAAGGACCCACAACUAAGAACAUACAACUAUGUACCUGGGGGCUUUGGGGAGAAAAAGGAAAAAAAAUAAAAUCUUAAAAAAAAAAUGUGGAAUUCUUACACUGACUGCAUGACCCUAAUUAUGAUAUCAAAAGAUAACUAUUAAUGUUGUCUUCUAUUUAAAAUAAAGCAACAGGAAUACAA
rnacentral:lncRNA from 1 species